AUGUUUAAAAUGUAAAAAAAAAAAAAAAAGUUUUCCCAGGGCGAGGCUCGUCCCUUGCACUCCGGGCGUGCUGACCCCUGCGAUUUCCCCAAAUGCAGGAAACUCGACUGCACAAUUUUCAGUAGUGGGGGACUGCGGUCGCGCUCUCCCCGA
rnacentral:snRNA from 1 species